GAUGAACGCUGGCGGCGUGCCUAAUACAUGCAAGUCGAGCGAACAGAUAAGGAGCUUGCUCCUUUGACGUUAGCGGCGGACGGGUGAGUAACACGUGGGUAACCUACCUAUAAGACUGGAAUAACUCCGGGAAACCGGGGCUAAUGCAGGAUAACAUGUUGAACCGCAUGGUUCUACAGUGAAAGGCGGCUUUGCUGUCACUUAUAGAUGGACCCGCGCCGUAUUAGCUAGUUGGUGAGGUAACGGCUCACCAAGGCAACGAUACGUAGCCGACCUGAGAGGGUGAUCGGCCACACUGGAACUGAGACACGGUCCAGACUCCUACGGGAGGCAGCAGUAGGGAAUCUUCCGCAAUGGGCGAAAGCCUGACGGAGCAACGCCGCGUGAGUGAUGAAGGUCUUCGGAUCGUAAAACUCUGUUAUUAGGGAAGAACAAAUGCGUAAGUAACUGUGCGCGUCUUGACGGCACCUAAUCAGAAAGCCACGGCUAACUACGUG
rnacentral:rRNA from 1 species